rnacentral:rRNA from 1 species
AUUGAACGCUGGCGGCAUGCCUUACACAUGCAAGUCGAACGGCAGCGCGGGAGCAAUCCUGGCGGCGAGUGGCGAACGGGUGAGUAAUAUAUCGGAACGUGCCCAGUAGUGGGGGAUAGCCGGCGAAAGCCGGAUUAAUACCGCAUGAGACCUGAGGGUGAAAGCGGGGGAUCGCAAGACCUCGCGCUAUUGGAGCGGCCGAUAUCAGAUUAGCUAGUUGGUGGGGUAAAGGCCUACCAAGGCAACGAUCUGUAGUUGGUCUGAGAGGACGACCAGCCACACUGGGACUGAGACACGGCCCAGACUCCUACGGGAGGCAGCAGUGGGGAAUUUUGGACAAUGGGCGCAAGCCUGAUCCAGCAAUGCCGCGUGCAGGAAGAAGGC